UACGUAGGGCGCAAGCGUUGUCCGGAAUUAUUGGGCGUAAAGAGCUCGUAGGCGGCCUGUUGCGUCCGCUGUGAAAUCCCGGGGCUUAACCCCGGGCGUGCAGUGGAUACGGGCUGGCUAGAGGCAGGCAGGGGAGAACGGAAUUCCCGGUGUAGCGGUGAAAUGCGCAGAUAUCGGGAGGAACACCGGUGGCGAAGGCGGUUCUCUGGGCCUUACCUGACGCUGAGGAGCGAAAGCAUGGGGAGCGAACAGG
rnacentral:rRNA from 1 species